rnacentral:rRNA from 1 species
GUACACGCUGUGACUAGCAUAUCAAUAAGCGGAGGAAAAGAAACUAACAAGGAUUCCCCUAGUAACGGCGAGUGAAGCGGGAAGAGCUCAAAUUUGAAAUCUUAAAGGGUUUCCCUUUACGAAUUGUAGUUUAAAGAAGUGUUUUCUGUUGAGGUUUUGGUAAAAGUCCUUUGGAAUAGGACAUCAUAGAGGGUGAGAAUCCCGUAUUUGACCUUUACUUUCAACUUUGUGAUACACUUUCAAAGAGUCGGAUUGUUUGGGAAUGCAGUCCAAAAUGGGUGGUAAAUUUCAUCUAAAGCUAAAUAUUGGCGAGAGACCGAUAGCGAACGAGUACCGUGAGGGAAAGAUGAAAAGAACUUUGAAAAGAGAGUUAAACAGUACGUGAAAUUGUCAAAAGGGAAGCGUUUGACACCAGUGUUGUUUUUCUGAAAAUCAAUUAAAGAACUGUUUAUGCUAAGCUGUUUAGACUUUAUCAGCUAUCUGUUUAGUUUUGAGCUUUUCUUUAAUGCACUUUUCAGUUAACAAGUCAACAUCAAUUUCUUUUGCUGUAAAAAAGCUUGAGGAAGGUGGCUUGAGAUUCGUCUUAAGUGUUUAUAGCCUCUUGCCUAUGCAGUCGGAGAGAUUGAGGUCUGCAGCGUAGAUCCUUCGGGGCUAAAUGCAUUUGUGCUAAGUUAUAGCAUUUUAUAGACAACUUGUUGACUAUGAUUUGUCUUGUAGCUUACUCGCUUAUGUUAUUUUACCUACGCUUAGGAUGUUGACGAGACUGUCGAUCU